CGUCCAGGUAGCGUUGGAGUAGCUAACAAGCAAGCGAACAUGACUGUCCAGUCAACUAGCAUGCUAGCCUUAUUCAUGGAUAUCAAAAGACGUCCCUUCCAAAAAGCCUCCCGCGAUAUUUGUGCUCGAUUCGGACCAAAGACCCUCUCCCUCCAGCUAUCAAGUGCUGUGUCGGGAAUGAAGUUCUUUGUGGAGGAAGAAGCGCAUGCGUAGGCUGAAGCGCAAAAGGAGAAAGAUGAGGCAGAGGUCCAAGUAAACUGCUUCCCUUCUGCUGCAGCUGGAACUGCUCCUCCUAGACCUUCCCACCGACCCCUCGCCUUCUCCAGAAACCCAAGCUGAGGCCUUUUGAAGGACUCCUACAUUCCUCAGAAGGAUGCGGGCACCCUUGUUGGAUCUCCUGGCUCUUCUAUUUGUGAUGUGCUGACCUGUGAAAGCUUCUCUUGGACAUUCUGGACUUCCGCCAGCUCAGCAAAGUUUUUGUUUAUAUUUCCUUGAAUAAAGAAAUUUGAUUUGGAAAAGGGGAAAUGCUGUAUUCUAUUUCUACCACUACGAUGGUACAGGUUUUUUUUUUUUUUUUUUUAAUGCUCCAGUUUUAUAGUUGGACUGGUGGGGGUUUAGUUAACCUGUGAUGUAGUGUAGAUGGUCAAAUAAGGUUUUCUUGGUUAGAGUUCAUGGAAUUUCACCAAGUUUUAAAAAAAAAAAACGGACCAGGAAAAUAUUUCGCUCCAUGUCUAGGAAUGAAGUUCAUCCAACCAUGGUGACCCUGAUCCCUAGGAAGCUUGAUUUAACAGAACCUCACAUUCCAUCGAAAAUGACAUGCUCUAAAGGUGCCAUCUGUCGGAUCGCCGCAGAAAUGGCAUAUGGUAUCAUAAGUGUUUUCUUUACUGUAUUACCUGUAAUUAGAAAUUGUGUUGGCUUAAUGCGCACUUCAUAUCUAUAUAGAGAGCGGGUCCUCUUCUGCAGGCUCUGCCGUGUUGUACCGCCAUGUUUGUACAGUAGCCCAGAAUGGUGUUU
ensembl:lncRNA